rnacentral:rRNA from 1 species
UACGAAGGGGGCUAGCGUUGCUCGGAUUUACUGGGCGUAAAGGGCGCGUAGGCGGACAGUUUAGUCAGAGGUGAAAGCCCAGGGCUCAACCUUGGAAUUGCCUUUGAUACUGGGGAUCUUGAGUCCGGGAGAGGUGAGUGGAACUGCGAGUGUAGAGGUGAAAUUCGUAGAUAUUCGCAAGAACACCAGUGGCGAAGGCGGCUCACUGGCCCGGAACUGACGCUGAGACGCGAAAGCGUGGGGAGCAAACAGG